UACGAAGGGUGCAAGCGUUACUCGGAAUUACUGGGCGUAAAGCGUGCGUAGGUGGUUUCUUAAGUCUGCUGUGAAAGCCCCGGGCUCAACCUGGGAAUUGCAGUGGAUACUGGGGAGCUAGAGUGCGGUAGAGGGUAGUGGAAUUCCCGGUGUAGCGGUGAAAUGCGUAGAGAUCGGGAGGAACACCAGUGGCGAAGGCGGCUACCUGGACCAGCACUGACACUGAGGCACGAAAGCGUGGGGAGCAAACAGG
rnacentral:rRNA from 2 species